rnacentral:rRNA from 1 species
UGGAUUAGGCAUGCAAGUCGAGCGGAAAGGCCCCGCAAGGGGUGCUCGAGCGGCGUAAGGGACAGUAAUGUGUAGGUACGUACCCCUGGGUCUAGGAUAGCUGCGGGAAACUGCAAUUAAUACUAGAUGAUGUCUUCGGACCAAAGGUGUGAUUCCACCCAGGGAGCGGCCUACAUCCUAUUAGCUAGUUGGUGAGGUGACGGCUCACCAAGGCGAAGAUGGGUAGCAGGUGUGAGAGCACGACCUGCGUCACUGGGACUGAGACACUGCCCAGACACCUACGGGUGGCUGCAGUCGAGAAUCUUCGGCAAUGGGCGAAAGCCUGACCGAGCGACGCCGCGUGCGGGAUGAAGGCCUUCGGGUUGUAAACCGCUGUCGAGGGGGAGCAACUUCCAUAGAGUUAUCUUUAUGGAUUGAGUGAUCCCUGGAGGAAGGACGGGCUAAGUUCGUGCCAGCAGCCGCGGUA